rnacentral:rRNA from 1 species
AUUGAACGCUGGCGGCAGGCCUAACACAUGCAAGUCGAACGGUAACAGGAAGAAGCUUGCUUCUUUGCUGACGAGUGGCGGACGGGUGAGUAAUGUCUGGGAAACUGCCUGAUGGAGGGGGAUAACUACUGGAAACGGUAGCUAAUACCGCAUAACGUCGCAAGACCAAGGAGGGGGACCUUCGGGCCUCUUGCCAUCGGAUGUGCCCAGAUGGGAUUAGCUAGUAGGUGGGGUAACGGCUCACCUAGGCGACGAUCCCUAGCUGGUCUGAGAGGAUGACCAGCCACACUGGAACUGAGACACGGUCCAGACUCCUACGGGAGGCAGCAGUGGGGAAUAUUGCACAAUGGGCGCAAGCCUGAUGCAGCCAUGCCGCGUGUAUGAAGAAGGCCUUCGGGUUGUAAAGUACUUUCAGCGGGGAGGAAGGGAGUAAAGUUAAUACCUUUACUCAUUGACGUUACCCGCAGAAGAAGCACCGGCUAACUCCGUG